rnacentral:rRNA from 1 species
UACAGAGGUCUCGAGCGUUAGGCGGAAUCACUGGGCUUAAAGCGUGUGUAGGCGGAUCGUUAAGUACCUUGUGAAUACCCACGGCUUAACCGUGGAACUGCUUGGUAUACUGGCGGUCUUGAGCCAGCUAGGGGCUACCGGAACAAAUGGUGGAGCGGUGAAAUGCGUAGAUAUCAUUUGGAACGCCAAUGGUGAAAACAGGUAGCUGGGGCUGUGCUGACGCUGAGACACGAAAGCCAGGGGAGCAAACGGG